GAUGAACGCUGGCGGCGUGCCUAAUACAUGCAAGUCGAGCGAAUGGAUUAAGAGCUUGCUCUUAUGAAGUUAGCGGCGGACGGGUGAGUAACACGUGGGUAACCUGCCCAUAAGACUGGGAUAACUCCGGGAAACCGGGGCUAAUACCGGAUAACAUUUUGAACCGCAUGGUUCGAAAUUGAAAGGCGGCUUCGGCUGUCACUUAUGGAUGGACCCGCGUCGCAUUAGCUAGUUGGUGAGGUAACGGCUCACCAAGGCAACGAUGCGUAGCCGACCUGAGAGGGUGAUCGGCCACACUGGGACUGAGACACGGCCCAGACUCCUACGGGAGGCUGCAGUAGGGAAUCUUCCGCAAUGGACGAAAGUCUGACGUAGCAACGCCGCGUGAGUGAGGAAGGCUUUCGGGUCGUAAAACUCUGUUGUUAGGGAAGAACAAGUGCUAGUUGAAUAAGCUGGCACCUUGACGGUACCUAACCAGAAAGCCACGGCUAACUACGUGCCAGCCGCCGCCGUAA
rnacentral:rRNA from 1 species